rnacentral:lncRNA from 1 species
AUUUGUUUUUACUGUUGAAAUUAGUUGUUAUGUUAAAAUAGAUAAUUAUUCACCUUGAGCGAUGAAUUAUUGUUGACCUUUCGAGAUUCUUUUUUUGCGAACCCGUCUUUAGCGUAAUGUGUGAUUUUGAUAUUACUACGCGGUCCUCAAGGGAUUACACAUCGCAAAUAAAUGCUAAAUAUGUUAGUUUUUGUGUCUUUCAAAACACACACAAUAUACAGAAUUAAUUGCAGGAUAAAGACAAUAACUGUUUAGUGUCUUUAAAUAUCAGCUGUAUUUGUACUCGGCUCGAAACAGGUGUAGUAGCUCGCUAAAAGCUCGCAUACACCUUGUUUCCUAGCUUUGUACAAAUACAGGUGAUAUUUAAAGACACUAAACAGUUAUUGUCUAUGAAAAU